rnacentral:autocatalytically_spliced_intron from 1 species
GUGCACCAAGAAAAGCGUUUAGAAGACAGUUGGUCAACCUAGGCAAAGUCUAGCCAGCAGCCUAGAACAGACCAUUAUGCUGCGUAAGGUAACGAGCGUAGUAAAGCUAAUGGAAUGGACAAUGCAGGGUACAACGAAAGUGAAGGUAUUGAGU